rnacentral:rRNA from 1 species
AACUAACGCUGGCGGCGUGCCUAACACAUGCAAGUCGUACGAGAAAGCCGGCUUCGGCUGGUGAGUAAAGUGGCGCACGGGUGAGUAACGCGUGGAUAAUCUGCCCUUAAGUGUGGAAUAACGUACCGAAAGGUGCGCUAAUACCGCAUAAUGCCUGGCAACACAAGUUGUCCGGCCAAAGAAGGCCUCUGUUUACAAGCUUUCGCUUCAGGAUGAGUCCGCGUACCAUUAGCUUGUUGGUGGGGUAAUGGCCUACCAAGGCUGCGAUGGUUAGCUGGUCUGAGAGGAUGAUCAGCCACACUGGAACUGAGACACGGUCCAGACUCCUACGGGAGGCAGCAGUGAGGAAUAUUGCGCAAUGGGGGCAACCCUGACGCAGCAACGCCGCGUGAGUGAGGAAGGUUUUCGGACUGUAAAGCUCUGUCGAGCGGGAAGAAGUGUACCAUGGCUAAUAUCCAUGAUAUUUGACGUACG